UCCCAAUACUGCCGCGCCGCACAUAACACCACACUCCGGUUUUAUUUUGGUGCCAAACGGAAGAAACGGGAGUGAGAAGCGCCGCGGUUCUUUCUCUGCCCAACGUAGGCCACCGCCCACACCCUGAGAUGGGUCUCUCGGUCUACCGACGAACAAAGCCGGGCCUUAGCUAUUGCUUUAAAUCUUUGGCGUGGAAGACUCCCAACCGACGCCCGUGCAUGUCCUCCAACUCGUACAGGCUGUUGCCCACGCUGCUCCGGACACGGCAUUUCACAUACUUGUGGCACAGCUUCGCGUUCACGUUGUCCUUAAAACGACUGAGGACAAAGUUUCGCCUGUAAAUCUCCUGGCCAGGUACGUACGCUACCAUCCUCGCACGCUUAUCGUAUUGCCGUUUCGCCUUUUCAUAUGCCAGGUGGACACUCUGCUGUACCUCAUCCCGCACUGCCUUCUGCUGAUCCGAUCUGGGCAACAUGCGCAAUUCCGCAUCCUCCAGCGCCCCCAACUUGCGUGCCAGCUUGUAAUCCUUCCCGCUGGUGAACAUGUGCUGCCCAAACAAAACGAAAUACGGGGACGUGCCGAUGCUGCCAUGGAUAGCACUGCGUGCUGCACACUGCACGUCCGAGAGCUUCUCGUCCCACUUCGUGUGGUCGCCCUGUACAUAUGUCCUGAUGGCCGCUAACACUGUCUGGUUCACGCGUUCCGCCGCAUUCGCCUGUGGGGCAUAGUUCGCCGUGCGUACGUGGGUGAUGCUCAGCCCCUGCAGGAACCCCGUAAAUUGGUUGGCCACAAAUUGCUUACCGUUGUCGGUAUGGACGGUUUCUGGGACUCCAAAUGCCGAAAACACCUCCUCCUGCAGAAACCGGACCACUGCCGCCGCUGUUGCUUUUGGCAUCGCUCGCAACCACACGAAUUUGGACAGAUGGUCAAGAACAACCAGAAUGGUGGUAUUCCCUCUCCUGGACCUCGGAUACGGCCCUAGAAAAUCCAGAUGCAGCCUCUGCAUUGGUCGGAGCGAUACGGUUUCGGCGCCCAUUACCGGCCUCGCUAAUUGCGUGCUGUGCUUUGUUGCUUUGCACGUUUCACAGCCGGCAACGUACCUCCUCACCUGUGCCACCAUCCCGGGCCAGAAAAAAAACUGCCUGAGCCGUUCUAUGGUCCUCUUCAUGCCCCCAUGCAUAGCCGCGUCGCUCUCAUGGGCCUGCUGUAUAAGGGCUGCGGACACAGGACGCGGUACCCAGAGCUUCCAGGAAAAUUCCUCUCGCUCGGGCCGCGUGAACUGCGCCCGCUUAUACAACAGCCCAUCCUCCACGCGUAAAUCCGGAAAUAGCUCCGCGUUCUCCCGCACUUGCUUCAGCCGCUCGGUAUACUCCGCACCUUCGAACUCGGUUGUCUCGAAAUCAAAAAAAUCAACUUCCUCCAGUUCGAAAGGCCGUGAGAGGGUAUCGGCUACAAUAUUUUCCUUGCCUUUCCGAUGCUCAAUAUUAAAGUCGAACCUCUGCAGGGCCAACGACCACCGCGCUAAUCGACCGUCCAACUCCUUCAAUGACAUCAGCCACCGCAGGCUGGCGUGAUCAGUCACCACCUUAAACGGCAUCAAUUCAACGUACGGCCGGAAUCUUUCGACCGCUUUUACUGCAGCCAGGCAUUCCUUCUCGGUGACACUAUAGCUCAGCUGAGCGCCCCGAAGCUUCGCUGAAAAAAAAGCUAUCGGCCUUUCGGCCCCGUCUGCAUCGAGUUGGAACAAAACCGCUCCUAUGCCCGCUUGGCUCGCGUCACAUUGGAUCACGAACGGCUUCCGAAAGUCUGGAUGCACCAACACUGGCGCGCAGGCAGUCCGUUAACGGCGCGGAAAUCGUGGAAAAAUUCCGAAUGAAACGCCUAUACCAGCCAGCGGUCCCCAAGAAUCGGCGGAGCUGCUUUGCGCUGGUCGGCAAGGAAAUCGCCCGAAUCGCCUCGACCUUCUCUGGAUCCGUCCGCAACGCACCAUCGCCAACCACAAACCCCAGAUACUUCAAGUACUUGUAGCAGAACUUGGAUUUUUUUAAGGAAAUCGUCAAAUUGGCUACUUUCAAAGCACUUGCCACGUCCAGCAGCACCUUGCAAUGAUCCUCAAACGUUCUGGAUAUUAUGAGAAGGUCGUCCAGGUACACGAAUACAUGGCUUCUCAAACGCUGGGGAAUCACCUUAUCCAUCACCCGGCAAAGGCGCUGCGCCGCAUUGCACAACCCGAACGGCAUGGCCUUAAAUUGAUACAGUGGCCUUCCUGGUAUCGUAAACGCGGUGUACUGCCGGCUUUCCUGAUCCAGUUCGAUCUGCCAAAAAGCAUGCUUUAGAUCCAGGCUGCUGAUGUAAAUGGUAUCCUCCACUCGGCUCAAGAUCGACUCAAUGCUCUGGAGUGGGCUUCCUCACCAAAGUCACUCGGUUGCUCCAUGGACUCUCACUUGGCUCGAUAACCCCUAGCCGAAGCAUCUCGUCGACUUCUGCAAACAAUAGCGCCUGCACUGCCGGCGACACGGGAUAAAAACGCUCUUUCACUGGCAGUGCCCCCUCCGUCAACUGAAUGUGGUGCUGCUCCACUGGCGUCCUACCCAGACCGUGCUCCUCGAAGGAUCUGAAUUGGGCCACGACUCGCUGUAACUUCUCCUGUUGCCACGCCUCUAAAUCGUGUGGCUCCGUUGGCGUACUCUUUCCUAAGCGCUCCUCCUCCAACUCAGCCACGUGCUGUCCUUCGUCCACAGCCGGGAUCACAUUCGGAGCCAAACCGAACCUGCGCCAAAAAUCCACGCCCAGAUAAAGCGGUUGGCACAACGACGGGCAAACGUGGAAUACCAUUUCCGACUCUGUUCCGUUAUACCUAACGCGCGCCAUCACGCUGCCAAUAAUGCAAUGUGGCGCGCCGCCGGCUGUCCUUACCGCGGAUUUGUUUUCGCGUACCACCAAACCUAGUUUUCGGACCGACUCUAUGGCACCACUUCCCAGCAAGCUCACCGACGCCCCGGUAUCCAACAGACCGGUAAAUUCUCUGCCUUCAAUCGCUACCGUAGCAUAUGGGCGGCUGUCGGAACGACAUGCAGAAUUCACCGCGGCACACACCGCCUGGCGUUUCUGUCGGCGUUCGCGGUGUCUCCUACGCGCCCGCAAGGAUGUCUUCGACGCCCCUCUCGCAUCCGGUUCGUGCUGGCUACCAAAUAUGCGGUUCCUGGCUACUUCAUAGUCGCGCUGACGCUGCUCCAAGGGUUUCCGCUGCGACCAUACUUUCUUCGGUGGGACUGCCUGGUUGACUUUAUAUAUCUGUACGCGUUUCACCGUCUACCGAGAGUGCGACUCCUCCGGCUGCGUCGGACUCCUCUCCGAGUUUCCCGGACGGCAUUUCGGGCAUCUUGGCAGCACCACGCCUGGCUGUCCGCAUUUGAAACAAAACAUAUUGCGCACCGCCGACUCGCAAUCGAAAUAUGUAUGCCCUGGUUGUGCACAAUUCCAACACUUGAGAUUCGAGCGGCUCCCACCAGUUUCAUGUGGCCUAUAUACCGCCUCCAAAUGCUCCAGUUGGCCGCCUUGUGUACCUUCUGCUACCACGUCCAGCUCGUGUACUCGAUGCUGCUCUCGCUGCUGCCCGUAGUUGGUACUGGCUGAGGGCCGCGCCCAACGCGUUGCCAGCAUCUUUUCGGCGUCUUGGCACUCCUCUCUCAGCUUCUGCAGAUUAGUUAUAUUCAUCGGAUAGAUGACCCUAGACACGGUGUCUUUAAUAUUUGUCUUUAUCACCUUAAUAAGGUCAUAAUCCGAAAAUGGACACACCAACCGAGAACGCAACACCAGCAUCGCCUGAAUAUACUCUUCUAUGCUCUCGCCAUGCCGCUGCUUCCGCUCCCUCAGCUCCUGCUCUCGUUCAAACUCCGAUCUUCGAGUCUGAAAUUGCUGCUGCAGCCCAUAUCGGAGAUUCGGCCAGUCCGGCACGCCCGAGGUACGUAUGUACAUCCAAUACCAAUCUUUCGCUCUCCCGUUCACCAGGCAGUGGAAGUCUCGCAACACGUCGGCCCAGGGCACCUGAUACAAGGACUGCAAAUGCUCCAAUCGAAAUAUAAACUCUGCCACCGGCAUUCCUUUGGUUUCGCCAUCAAAUACAAGGCCCCACUUUCUGAUGUGGACGACGUCGGGCCGGGAGUCUCCCAUCGUGGUUCGCCUUAAUGGCCUGUGCACGUCAGGGCCCAAAUCGCGCAUCCACGGAUCGGCUGAGAACUGCCGCUGCUCCACAUGUGCCCGCUGUUCUGCCUCUAAAGUUCGGUUGUCGACGAACAGGCUGGCCGCUGCAUUUGCGCGUGAGCUCGCUCUGGCCUGCCCACCGGCGCCUGUGCUACAGACGGAGGCGCGCUAUGCGUUCUCUCCUGCCUCAGCGCUGCCACUGCCUCAUUAAUCUCGCGCAUGAACGACAGCAUGCUGGCCUGCAUCGUCUCUCGAAUGGCCUCUACUUCUGACGACAACGAUGCGCGAUACGUCUCGUGGGCCUGUGCUAAUGCCACGUUGAUCGCUGACCGAAUUUCGCUUGGCAGCGCAGACUCGGCUCUGCCACCCUGCUCUUCACCGCCAUAGUCACGCGCGCGUGCGCCGGUUGUUGCUCCGGAACUGUUCGGAAAUUCAUCCCCGAAUCCUCGGAACGCUGCCUCGUUUACACUCGGCGGCGAUGCGUCAUCAUGGAGUGCUUCUGCUGGCUUGCCCGCCUCACUCAAUCCUACGUGAGGAGGAGAGUCCAAGUGAACCAAUGGCCUAUUUCUAAUAAACUCCUGACUCCGCCUGACCUUCCGGGUAACAUUCGGGUCAAGAUUCAUUUCUCAGUACCUUGUUAAUCCAAACCAAAAAAAAACCACUGCUAGUACUCGGAUCCGUACCCGCCGAUUAUAAUAUCAAAAAAAACUAUAUCUAUAUUAUAAACGAGCAAACUCCGAAUAAAUAAAUAGAUCGGUCCACUCGUA